AAGAGAGUGGCGAACGGGUGAGUAAUACAUAAGUAAUCUGCCCCUACAACUGGGAUAACCAUUGGAAACGAUGGCUAAUACCGGAUAGUUCAAUUGAUGGCAUCAUUGAUUGAUUAAAGAUGGGCUACAUCGAGUAGGGAUGAGCUUAUGGUGCAUUAGCUAGUUGGUAAGGUAAGAGCUUACCAAGGCGAUGAUGCAUAGCCGACCUGAGAGGGUGACCGGCCACACUGGGACUGAGAUACGGCCCAGAUUCC
rnacentral:rRNA from 1 species